rnacentral:rRNA from 1 species
UACGUAGGGUGCAAGCGUUGUCCGGAAUUAUUGGGCGUAAAGGGCGCGUAGGCGGCCCGCUAAGUCGAACGUGAAAUCCCCGAGCUCAACUCGGGAACUGCGUCCGAUACUGGCGGGCUUGAAUCCGGGAGAGGGAUGCGGAAUUCCAGGUGUAGCGGUGAAAUGCGUAGAUAUCUGGAGGAACACCGGUGGCGAAGGCGGCAUCCUGGACCGGCAUUGACGCUGAGGCGCGAAAGCUAGGGGAGCAAACGGG